UGGUUCUCAAGCUGCGGUUUGCCGACCACUGGUGUAGGGGAACUCACUUCAGAUGCAAUACGGCUCCCGCAGCAAAGGCCUCAGGGAAAUGUUGGAUUCUGUGUAGUUCUGUGUAGCCUCAGGCUUAGAUGACUACCCAGAAAACCAGAAUGCCACCCAAAAUCAGCGUCAUGCUCCCAGGAAGGAGGUGAGUGAAUGUGUAGAGGGGUGAUGAAAGCCUGGCGUUAUCUGUUAACUUAGGAAUGCAUUGCUCUUUCUGGUGGUCUAUAUGACUCCCCUCCAUGCAGUGGUACUGUUCACCCCCUGUAAAAAGGGGUCCUUUCCUGGGAGGGGUGUGGGUUCUUCCUGGCCAGCCACCACUGCGAGCAGCUGCUUUUGCCUGUGUCUGUAAGUUCCUCCUAUGAGAGCUCUUAUGAAUUUGAAUAAGGCUGCGUGUCUGUCCUGCAGAAUCGAUCCUGAAGUUAGAUUUUUGGGGCUUUCCCCCAACACCUGGCAUAUAAUGCAAACUAACAGUGAGAGCUUACUCUAUACCGCCCCUGCUCUAAACGCAUUGCCAUAGUAUCCUAUGUCAUAAAAGCCCAGCGACAGAACGGCAGAACGACCAGUCCACCAGUUGCUAUGAUGUGCACUGACCACCAGGGGGCGGACGUUCAACACAGGAGCUGCCCUUUGGUGGUCGGUGCACUACCACAGUGGAGCGCCGAUCAGCUGACUGGGAUGAGCGGCUGCUCCCACUGCAAACCCGGGCCAACGGGCAGGAACCCGGGCUGCAAUCGUCGCCCUGGGCUCCUCUUCCUCAUUCCCUGCUGCCUCUUCCAGAUGCCCGCAGGCCACUGUCGCCGGGUUCACAGAGCUGACCCCAGAGGCUGGGAGGCGAGUUUGUGGCCGCCACUGGACUGAGGCCUACUCUGCCGCCUCUCAGUGCUAAUGUCCCUGGGCCUGGCCCUGACUGGGUCCCUGGAGAAGCAAGUGCUCUGGCUCCACAGAAGAUGCCGGACCAGGGAGCAGCUGCUCAGAGGAAUCCAGUGUGGCCGAUAUUGCUCCUAUUUUACAGAUGAGGACAGUGAAGCUCAGGAAUAUUAAUUACUUGUCCAGAGUCUCAGUGCUGAAUCAAGAGGACCCUGAGGCCAAGUCAUGAGAGGAAUGCCCACACACCAGUCACAAAGAUCCACAGCAUUGAACUUGGAGUGAGAAGUAAACUUACAUUGUGUUAAACCACUGAGAUUUUUAUUUUUGUUUUUAACAGUAGCCAUUAAUAUGUCACCGAUUGUCCUUUCUCCUGCUCUCAUUUCCUUGAUCCUAUUGUCUUUCUUUAUCAUGUGAGUAGGUCUUUCCUUCUCUUUUAUUUUUCUUUUUAAAACAUUUUAUUGAUUU